AGCUUUUUAAUAAACUUUCACUCCUGCUCUAAAACUUGCCUUAGUCUCUCCUUCUGCCUUAUGCCUCUCAGUCGAAUUCUUUCUUCUGACAAGGAAGAACUGAGGUUGCUGCAGACCCAUAUGGAUUCGCUGCUGCUGCUAACAUCACCUACCAGCCCCUCUCCACCCCAUAUUAUUUUCCACCUCUCGAUCUCUUCUCAACACACUCUGGACAUCUUCCCUCAUCUUGCCACAAAAACAGCUCUCAAAGUUACUGAAGAAAUCUGUUAUAAAUUGACUUGGCACCCCAAAAGGAUGUGUUUGAGUCCUAACCCCUAGGAUCUGUGAAUUUGACCUUAUCUGGAAAUAUGUUCUUUGCAGACAUAAUCAAGUUAAGAUGAGGUCAGACUGGAUUAGGGUGGGCCCCAUCUAAUGCGACUUGUGUCCUUAUAAAAAGAGAGAAAGGCAUGAAGACACACAGAGGAGAAGCCUAUGAAGGCCUUGUGAAGAUGGAGGCAGAGAAUGGAGUGAUGCAUCUACAAGCCAAGGAAUGCCAAGCAUCUCCGACAACCACCAGAAGCUGAAAGAGGCAUGGAAGGAUCCUCCCAUUGAGCCUGUAGACAGGGCAUAGCCCUGCCCACAACUUGAUUUCAGGUUUCUUGCCUUCAGAACUGUAGAAGAAUAAAUUCCUGUUGUUUUAAGCCACCCAGUUUGUGGUAAUUUGCUAUGGCACCCUAGAAAAUGAACAUGAUCUCCUUUUUGUUGGAUUCCAUGGACAAUGUCUAUUCCUCAUAUUAUUUGACAUCGCAGCAGCAUACAGCACUAGUAACCCUGCCUCUUCCCACAAAUGCAUUCUCUCCUGGAAACCGUGCCCACACAUUCUCCUGGUUUGCAACUUCUGGCCACUUCCUUCUCUGUCCCCUCC
rnacentral:lncRNA from 10 species